GAUGAACGCUGGCGGCGUGCCUAAUACAUGCAAGUCGAGCGAACAGACGAGGAGCUUGCUCCUCUGACGUUAGCGGCGGACGGGUGAGUAACACGUGGAUAACCUACCUAUAAGACUGGGAUAACUUCGGGAAACCGGAGCUAAUACCGGAUAAUAUAUUGAACCGCAUGGUUCAAUAGUUAAAGACGGUUUUGCUGUCACUUAUAGCUGGAUCCGCGCCGCAUUAGCUAGUUGGUAAGGUAACGGCUUACCAAGGCGACGAUGCGUAGCCGACCUGAGAGGGUGAUCGGCCACACUGGAACUGAGACACGGUCCAGACUCCUACGGGAGGCAGCAGUAGGGAAUCUUCCGCAAUGGGCGAAAGUCUGACGGAGCAACGCCGCGUGAGUGAUGAAGGUCUUCGGAUCGUAAAACUCUGUUAUUAGGGAAGAACAAAUGUGUAAGUAACUAUGCAUGUCUUGACGGUACCUAAUCAGAAAGCCACGGCUAACUACGUG
rnacentral:rRNA from 1 species